rnacentral:misc_RNA from 1 species
GAACGCACAUUGCGCCCGUCAGUAUUCUGGCGGGCAUGCCUGUUCGAGCGUCAUUACGCCCCUCAAGUCCCCUGUGGACUUGGUGUUGGGGAUCGGCGAGGCUGGUUUUCCAGCACAGCCGUCCCUCAAAUCAAUUGGCGGUCUCGCCGUGGCCCUCCUCUGCGCAGUAGUAAAACACUCGCAACAGGAGCCCGGCGCGGUCCACUGCCGUAAAACCCCCCAACUUUUUAUAGUUGACCUCGAAUCAGGUAGGACUACCCGCUGAACUUA